rnacentral:rRNA from 1 species
AUCGUAGCCACACUGGGACUGAGACUGACGGCCCAGACUCCUACGGGAGGCAGCAGUGGGGAAUUUUCCGCAAUGGGCGAAAGCCUGACGGAGCAAUACCGCGUGAGGGAGGAAGGCUCUUGGGUUGUAAACCUCUUUUCUCAAGGAAUAAGAAAGUGAAGGUACUUGAGGAAUAAGCAUCGGCUAACUCCGUGCCAGCAGCCGCGGUAAUACGGAGGAUGCAAGCGUUAUCCGGAAUGAUUGGGCGUAAAGGGUCCGCAGGUGGCACUGAAAGUCUGCUGUUAAAGAGUGAGGCUCAACCUCAUAAGAGCAGUGGAAACUACAGAGCUAGAGUGCGUUCGGGGUAGCAGGAAUUCCUGGUGUAGCGGUGAAAUGCGUAGAGAUCAGGAAGAACACCGGUGGCGAAAGCGUGCUACUAGGCCGUAACUGACACUGAGGGACGAAAGCUAGGGGAGCGAAUGGGAUUAGAUACCCCAGUAGUCCUAGCCGUAAACGAUGGAUACUAGGCGUGGCUUGUAUCGACCCGAGCCGUGCCGGAGCUAACGCGUUAAGUAUCCCGCCUGGGGGAGUACGCACGCAAGUGUGAAACUCAAAGGAAUUGACGGGGGCCCGCACAAGCGGUGGAGUAUGGUGGUUUAAUUCGAUGCAACGCGAAGAACCUUACCAAGACUUGACAUGUCGCGAAUCUUUCUGAAAGGGAGGAGUGCCUUAGGGAGCGCGAACACAGGUGGUGCAUGGCUGUCGUCAGCUCAUGUCUGAGAUGUUGGGUUAAGUCCCGCAACGAGCGCAACCCUCGUCUUUGC